rnacentral:rRNA from 1 species
AUUGAACGCUGGCGGCAGGCCUAACACAUGCAAGUCGGACGGUAGCACAGGGGAGCUUGCUCCUCGGGUGACGAGUGGCGGACGGGUGAGUAAUGUCUGGGGAUCUGCCCGAUAGAGGGGGAUAACCACUGGAAACGGUGGCUAAUACCGCAUAAUGUCGCAAGACCAAAGAGGGGGACCUUCGGGCCUCUCACUACCGGAUGAACCCAGAUGGGAUUAGCUAGUAGGCGGGGUAACGGCCCACCUAGGCGACGACGCCUAGCUGGUCUGUGAGGAUGACCAGCCACACGGGCACGGGGACACGGUCCAGACUCCUACGGGAGGCGGCAUGGGGGAAAAUUGCAGAAGGGGCGCAAGCCUGAUGGAGCCAUGCCGCGUGUAUGAAGAAGUCCUUCGGGUUGUAAAGUACUUUCAGCGGGGAGGAAGGCGAUGUGGUUAAUAACCGCGUCGAUUGACGUUACCCGCAGAAGAAGCACCGGCUAACUCCGUGCCAGCCGCCGCGGUAA